AAGCUCGUAGUUGAAUUUCGGGGUUAGUAGGUUGGUCAUGCCUCUGGUAUGUACUGGUCUCACUGAUUCCUCCUUCCUUAUGAACCGUAAUGCCAUUAAUUUGGUGUUGCGGGGAAUUUGGACUGUUACUUUGAAAAAAUUAGAGUGUUUAAAGCAAGCUAACGCUUGAAUACAUUAGCAUGGAAUAAUGAAAUAGGACGUUCGAUCCUAUUUUGUUGGUUUCUUAGGAUUGACGUAAUGAUUAAUAGGGAUAGUUGGG
rnacentral:rRNA from 1 species